CAAGUAAGGUCUUCCCUUACUCUAUUUCCUCAAAGGAAGAAAUAGUCGGGAAGUAGAUAGAGCGGACCGUUUCCCCCUCCGAGCUUUGCCCUCCUCCCCUCGGGGGAGACACCAACUUCCUUCGGUGAUGUUAGCAGCCCUUGUUUUUCUAAAAAGAAGAAAAAGCACUAGAAAUCGGUAAUGCCGUAAGUGAGGUUCGAAACCACUGAUGUCGAUCCGGUAGCUGAGUAACGUCAGUUCUGAAACCUCGUAUCUACGCAGGACGCGCCAUAAUUAUUUCGUAAGCUUGAGAGGUGUAAUUUCGGAAGUUAAUCGCCCGAGAUAUGACCCAUCCUGAAAAGUAGCUCUAAUCUAGGAGCUGCAUUGUUGUUCGAGAUCCUCUGCACGGCAGUUCGCGGGCUUGGUGCAAGCGGCUUGCUGUGGAUUGAUCUUUCAAGCUGGGAGCUUUGGGAUCAGCCGGGCCUGCAAGGGUUUGGAAUUGCUCGAAAGAAUACAGCUUUGAACAACAUAGGGGGGAUGACCGUAUUCAGGGGCGGUCCUCCUAAAGUGGAGAAAGACUAGGGGAAUAUGGGGUCCGGAUCUUGCGGUGCAUACAGUUUCAGCGGAAGUAGCUGUCCGCUCCCUUGUCCAGUAACCAUUCUGAGUGGGGCUAGAACUUUGACGGGAAAAGCGCCGGGUCCGGGAAAGAAAGGAGUCACACAAAUAGGU
rnacentral:lncRNA from 1 species